AACUCCUCCAAAUGUCUACGUGGGCAUUCACCUGCAAAACCAUGAAACUUAGGCAGCCAAUGUAUCAGUCCAGUGCUGAAAACACAACGAAUAUCCUCCUCGUCAAGUGGAAACGGAUCCCUAGGAGUACUCUUGUGAGAUGGAGGAGGAAUCAUAUUGUUCUCAACACAGAAAUCAGCAGGCGAAUCAUAAUCAGAGUAACAAGCAGGAUGAGAAUCAUAGACACAGGCAGAAUAAGAAUUACUCACAUAGCCAAAAUAGGUAGACAUGUAGAAAGAAGGAGGAAAAGAAGAAUGCAAUGAAAAUAUGCAAGUAAAGCUACCUAAAUGCAACACACAAUGACGAACACACAAAACGGAACAACUCACUCACAACACGAGACAAAACACAACACACACUAACACAACAAAAGACCUAAAACCGAACCGUUGGUCACCGGCAACGGCGCCAAAAUUUGAUGGGUGUCGCACCCCAUACAAAUUUGUUGUGCAUUAAAAAUGUAGUAUAGUGCUAGGAAGUGACUCCUAGGUGAUCUCUCAAGGACCAACUAUGGUUCAGAAUCAGGUCUAACACGAAGGGGGUUGUCGAAAAGUGUUUCUGCGAAUGCGAUUAGACUAAAUUAAAACACGCAAAUAACACCUAACUAACAAGAUUGAAACGGUCGGAUACUAAAGCUAACAUUACGACUAAAUUAUCACAACUAAAAAAAAUAGAAAACAUUAAAGUAAAAGAAAAUGCUAAUCCUAACACUGCAGUAGACAAACAUCCAAACAUAAUUAAAACUAUUAAAAUGCAACACUAAAUUAGAAAGAUGAAAAACAACUCAAAAUACAAUGCAAAAUAUUUAAAAGCA
rnacentral:lncRNA from 1 species